AACGAACGCUGGCGGCGGGCUUAACACAUGCAAGUCGAGCGCCCCGCAAGGGGAGCGGCAGACGGGUGAGUAACGCGUGGGAAUCUACCCAUCUCUACGGAAUAACGCAUGGAAACGUGUGCUGAUACCGUAUACGUCCUUCGGGAGAAAGAUUUAUCGGAGAUGGAUGAGUCCGCGUUGGAUUAGCUAGUUGGUGGGGUAAAGGCCUACCAAGGCGACGAUCCAUAGCUGGUCUGAGAGGAUGAUCAGCCACACUGGGACUGAGACACGGCCCAGACUCCUACGGGAGGCAGCAGUGGGGAAUAUUGGACAAUGGGCGCAAGCCUGAUCCAGCCAUGCCGCGUGAGUGAUGAAGGCCCUAGGGUUGUAAAGCUCUUUCACCGGUGAAGAUAAUGACGGUAACCGGAGAAGAAGCCCCGGCUAACUUCGUGCCAGCCGCCGCGGUAAUAC
rnacentral:rRNA from 1 species